CUUGCACCCAAACCCCAAAAGAUCUUUGUUUUUCCUUAACAAUGAUUUUUUUAGGGGGUGCAAACAGCAAAAGGGCCUUGUCGCCUUUCUGGAGCUGAUAAAAGUGCCCCAGAAAGUGAAGUCAUGGGUUCUACAUUC